rnacentral:rRNA from 1 species
UUGAAAGGGAAACGAUUGAAGUCAGUCAUGCCGGUGGGAAUCAACUUAGGGGAAACUCUAGGUGCACUUCUUCGCUUGGCAGGUCAACGUCGAUUUUGAAUGUCAUAAAAUAAUUGGGGGAAGGUAGCUCCUUCGGGAGUGUUAUAGCCCUUGAUAGAUGUGAUGUUUGGGGUCGAGGAUUGCAACGGAUACCCUCUGGGGCUAGCCGCCUGAUCUCUAAUCGGUGUUGGGUUACGGAUAGCAUGCUGACCGUGAUCUAAUUACUGGUUAAAAGGUUAGANNNUGCAUAAAUUCGUUAAGGAUGUUGACGUA